AUUGAACGCUGGCGGCAGGCCUAAUACAUGCAAGUCGAGCGAGGCGCGGACGGGAGAGAAAUGUCUGGGAAACUGCCUGAUGGAGGGGGAUAACUCCUGAAAACGGUGGCAAUUCCCGCAUACCAUCAGAUGUGCCCAGGUGGGAUUAGCUAGUAGGUGGGGUAAAGGCUCACCUAGGCCACGAUCCCUAGCUGGUCUGAGAGGGUGACCAGCCACACUGGAACUGAGACACGGUCCAGACUCCUACGGGAGGCAGCAGUAGGGAAUAUUGCGCAAUGGGCGAAAGCCUGAUGCAGCCAUGCCGCGUGUGUGAUGAAGGCCUUCGGGUCGUAAAGCUCUGUCAGCAGGGAGGCGGUACUCGAAGAGAAAGCACCGGCUAACUCCGUGCCAGCAGCCGCGGUAAUUC
rnacentral:rRNA from 1 species